rnacentral:rRNA from 1 species
AGUGAACGCUGGCGGUAGGCCUAACACAUGCAAGUCGAACGGCAGCACAGGAGAGCUUGCUCUCUGGGUGGCGAGUGGCGGACGGGUGAGGAAUACAUCGGAAUCUACUCUGUCGUGGGGGAUAACGUAGGGAAACUUACACUAAUACCGCAUACGACCUACGGGUGAAAGCAGGGGACCUUCGGGCCUUGCGCGAUUGAAUGAGCCGAUGUCGGAUUAGCUAGUUGGCGGGGUAAAGGCCCACCAAGGCGACGAUCCGUAGCUGGUCUGAGGGGAUGAUCAGCCACACUGGAACUGAGACACGGUCCAGACUCCUACGGGAGGCAGCAGUGGGGAGUAUUGGACAAUGGGCGCAAGCCUGAUCCAGCCAUACCGCGUGGGUGAAGAAGGCCUUCGGGUUGUAAAGCCCUUUUGUUGGGAAAGAAAUCCAGCUGGCUAAUACCCGGUUGGGAUGACGGUACCCAAAGAAUAAGCACCGGCUAACUUCGUGCCAGCCGCCGCCGUAA